rnacentral:rRNA from 1 species
UAUGUCCUACGGGACGCAGCAGUGGGGAAUAUUGCACAAUGGGGGAAACCCUGAUGCAGCGACGCCGCGUGAGUGAAGAAGUAUUUCGGUACGUAAAGCUCUAUCAGCAGGGAAGAAAAAUGACGGUACCUGACUAAGAAGCCCCGGCUAACUACGUGCCAGCAGCCGCGGUAAUACGUAGGGGGCAAGCGUUAUCCGGAUUUACUGGGUGUAAAGGGAGCGUAGACGGCUGUGCAAGUCUGACGUGAAAUGCCGGGGCC